UACGUAGGGAGCAAGCGUUGUCCGGAAUCAUUGGGCGUAAAGCGCGCGUAGGUGGCUUCGUAAGUCCGUUGUGAAAGUCAAAGGCUCAACCUUUGAAAGCCGAUGGAUACUGCGGAGCUAGAGUACGGAAGAGGCGAGUGGAAUUCCUGGUGUAGCGGUGGAAUGCGCAGAUAUCAGGAAGAACACCCGUGGCGAAGGCGGUUCUCUGGGACGGUACUGACGCUGAGACGCGAAAGCGUGGGGAGCGAACAGG
rnacentral:rRNA from 1 species